AUCAGCCUUCCAACGUGGACUGAAGACCAGCAGCUCUCCAGGAGUCCCCCAGGAAGUUAGUUCCUGGAAUAAGCCAGCUGAGGCAUCCAGCCGCAUGAGACGUUCAAACCUGUGGACAGCUCUUAUUGGACUCCAAAAAUCUUAAUGCACUAGCUUCUGGGUUUUCCAACUUUCUCUUCUCCGGCGAUCUCAGCCGUUACUACCUCCUGAGGACAUAAACCAUGACGGCACAACGCAGCUCUCUGAAAGGUUCUCAAGGGUUCUUUACAAAGGAUCUGAUGUCCUAUCUUCAAGUCAGAAACAAACACAAAAGACCCAAGAAGUCACCUGUAAAGGCCUGGUGAUGUUCAGUUCUCCAGCCAGCAGAUGGAAGCAGACACCGGUCUUUAGAGAUGCUCGUGUGGAGCGGACCACAUAUCUGAGUGCUGAGACAGUCUGGCAUGAAAAGGAAAUCUCAUUCUUCAGGAAUCUGGAACCAGCUCUUUCUUGGGGCAGUAUUUAUGCAGCCGCUAAGCCCUCCUUAAAGCUGAUUAAGGGCCUUCAUAAAUUUAACUCGUGUUCAGGAGUUCACAACAAUUUCCCAUGUACCAUUAAGAUAGGAGAAGUAUACUUUAGUAAAGAGAAAGUUGUCGCCUGAAUAAAAUUAACAUUAUUUA